rnacentral:lncRNA from 1 species
AAUCUCAGAGUUGUUAGAAUAAUUCUUUCUCAAAUGUAUAGUAUACACUUGUACAUGUAUGUCUUAUAGGACUCUCAAACAAGUAAACGUACAUGUAGUUAUAAAUAAAAAUAGGUUUUAUUUUAUAUAUAUCUUAAAUGUAUUGCAUUUGUGUUUUAUAAAUGAAUCCUCUUUAAAAUUCAGGCCAGUAUUCUAUAUUACCAAGUAUUGCCCAGUAUUACCCAGUAAAACCCGGGUUUUCCCAGUAUUUCCCACUGGGCUGGGCAAUACUCAUAAAACCUGGGUUUUUUCCAACCCUGAAUUGGGAGGUCCCAAAAAUCACAAAUGUACAUGUAAAAAAUUAAAACAAGAAAACUAAUGGCUGAAUUAAUAAACAAAAAAAUGAACAAAAAACAAAUAUCAUUAUGUAACAAACAAAGCAACAAAGAAGAACCACUGAAUUACAGGCUCCUGACCUGGGACUGGCAC